rnacentral:lncRNA from 1 species
ACGUUGUAUUUGAUCAACAUAAUACCAUCAUUUCUGUGGUCGUCCGUCAUUGAUUCGAUUUUUGGAAAUCUCAAGGUAACACACAGCACAGUACUUACUGUAUGUUAUAGAUUUACCACAAAACAUCUUUACAUUGUCAGUCACAGAAACAGAUUUAUCACUAAACGUCUUUACAUUGUCAGUCACAGAAACAGAUUUAUCACUAAACGUCUUUACAUUGUCAGUCACAGAAACAGAUUUACCACUAAACGUCUUUACAUUGUCAGUCACAGAAACAGAUUUACCACUAAACGUCUUUACAUUGUCAGUCAAAUAAACAGAUUUACCACAAAACGUCUUUACAUUGUCAGUCACAGAAACAGAUUUACCACAAAACGUCUUUACAUUGUCAGUCAACUAAACAGAUUUACCACUAAACGUCUUUACAUUGUCAGUCACAGAAACAGAUUUAUCACAAAACGUCUUUACAUUGUCAGUCACAGAAACAGAUUUACCACAAAAUGUCUUUACAUUGUCAGUCACAGAAACAGAUUUAACACAAAAUGUCUUUACAUUGUCAGUCAAAUAAACAGAUUUACCACUAAACGUCUUUACAUUGUCAGUCAAAUAAACAGAUUUACCACAAAACGUCUUUACAUUGUCAGUCAAAUAAACAGAUUUACCACUAAACGUCUUUACAUUGUCAGUCACAGAAACAGAUUUAUCACAAAACGCCUUUACAUUGUCAGUCACAGAAACAGAUUUACCACAAAAUGUCUUUACAUUGUCAGUCACAGAAACAGAUUUACCACUAAACGUCUUUACAUUGUCAGUCACAGAAACAGAUUUAUCACUAAACACCUUUACAUUGUCAGUCACAGAAACAGAUUUACCACAAAAUGUCUUUACAUUGUCAGUCACAGAAACAGAUUUACCACUAAACGUCUUUACAUUGUCAGUCACAGAAACAGAUUUAUCACAAAACGUCUUUACAUUGUCAGUCACAGAAAUAGAUUUCACUAA